AAAAUAUAUGUCUAUAACAUUUAUGAAUACAUACUCUUGCAUUUGGAUGGGUUUGCAUUAUUUAGUCCUUAUAGACUGGCAGAUUUUUUACUUUAACUGUACUUUAUGCCACUGAGAAAAAAAACUCCUACCUUAAGCCACCUCAUGCUACCUUAACUAAUACAUCUCUUUCAUUCAUUUUGUUUGUUGGGCAUCUAAUAUGUUUUAGGCACUGAAGAUAUAAAUAAGACAUGUAAAGAGCCUGCCUUCAUAAAGCUUUCAUUGCAGAGAACAGAGAUCUAAUACAAUAUGAAGAUGUUUCCUAGAGAAAGAUUCAGCACCUUUUAGUUAAGAGGUCAGGAAAAGUAAAUUUGGAAGAACUUUGAAAGGAAUUGGUAGAAAUUUGGAAGGAAGAGAAGAAUCUAGAAGGAAGAACCAAGGAAGGAAAAUGUCAAGCAAAAAUCCUAUUUUGGAAGCCAAACAAAGGGGAUCAUGGAGCCACAACAUAGAAGAACCUACUUUGAACUUCAUGAAUAGAGAAGUAAACUUGGAUUAGUGGAUGAGAUUUGGUGGUUUUCCUGUUACUGCAGUGAGCAUUACCUUAACUUAUAAAUACAGUAAAAAUUUGUUUUGUGAGCAUAAUAUGUUCCAGAAACAUGCUUGCAAUCCAAAGCACUUGUAUAGCAAAGCGAGUUUCAAGAACCGUUGACUCGGUUGUGAUCAUGUGACAUUUAGCAUCACAUACUACUGGUAU